AUUGAACGCUAGCGGGAGGCCUUACACAUGCAAGUCGAACGAGUGGCGGACGGGUGAGUAAUAUAUGGGAACGUGCCCAGUAGCGGGGGAUAACUACUCGAAAGAGUGGCUAAUACCGCCUCCUAUGGGAUGGGCCCAUAUGGGAUUAGCUAGUUGGUGGGGUAAAGGCUCACCAAGGCGACGAUCCCUAGCUGGUGUGAGGGGAUGACCAGCCACACUGGGAAGUGGACACGGCCCAGACUCCUACGGGAGGCAGCAGUGGGGAAUUUUGGACAAUGGGGGCAACCCUGAUGCAGCCAUGCCGCGUGUAUGAGAAGGCCUUCGGGUUGUAAAGUACUUUUGGCGGAGAAGCGUUAUCCGCAGAAUAAGCACCGGCUAACUCCGUGCCAGCAGCCGCGGUAAUAC
rnacentral:rRNA from 1 species